CAGUGGUUAGAGCACUUGUCUAGCACAUGUGAGACACCAGGUUCAAUCCUCAGCACCACAUAAAAAUAAAUUAAAGGUACUGUGUCCAUCUACAACUGAAAAAAAAAUUUUAAAGAAUAAAAUUUAAAAAAAUGAAUAUGGACUAUGAGGAGCAGGAGUUUAUAGUCACUGUCCUCAGGAGUCUGACAUCAUAGAGCAUGUGAGACAAGCACACAACUAAUACUGGGUGCAACCUGGUGAGAACAGGAGCCUGAAAGAACCAGUGAAGCUACAACAGAGAGGGCAUUUGAACUUGACUUUCAAAUGAGAGGAUUUUAGCCAGGAAAGACAGGGAAGCCAUACUCAAAGCAAAGGAAACGCCUGCCUAGGGGCAGGAGGGGAACAGGAAUAGGGGCCAUUAUGAAGCUACCAGAAGUUCAAUUUGCUGGAGCACAGAUAGAUUUGUGUAGAUAGAUAAUUGGAAAUGAGACUAAGAGUGGAGUGGAUUCAUAAUCA
rnacentral:lncRNA from 1 species